AUAGAAUCAUACAUAUGUUUUCCCCUUCUACAGGUAAAGACAUGCAUUUCUCAGGGGUCACAGCUCCGAGCUCCUUACCAGAGCCUGUGAAGAUGAAAUGUUUGACUCCAGAGGAGCCUUUUAGCAGCUUAAUUGACCAUCCUGAACAGUACCAGAACCUGCUUGCUGAUUUGUGUGCACCUCCACUAGACCAUGGGAUGGUUGGCAAUACAAGUGCAGACAAUGAGUAUGCACAUAAAUGAAUGCUGGUGCUUUGAAAUUUUUCAAAUGUGUCCUGUGGUUCAUAGUGUGAACUCUUCACUGUUGCUUUGGACAUGUUCUCUUUCAGUCGCUAAGUCCAGAGGCCAGUGAUACAUUGGCUCUUGAAACUACUUGAAAUACAUUUUUGUAAUAAUAGCAAUCUAGUAUCAGGUUAAGGACAUCCUCUAAAUAAGUUAUCCAUUGCUCUUAGGCUCUAUAAAGUAUAUCAUCUGUUGGUGUAAGAGCCUCUGUUUCUGCCUUUAGUAGUUUCUAUAGUGGAAGUAUCUAUUAAGUGGUUAAUGCAAAUCAGUUUAUACAAACAGUGCAAAUGUUGCUAUAGACUUUUCAUUGCCUAAUGAAAGAAAAAGAUAGAAAACAACAGCAAGUCCUAAGCAUAUCUUAUCUUUUACGCACAGUUGCAACCAAUGAUGUUUGAUUCUCAGAUUUCCCAUAACAUUGUUGUCAGAUUCAUAAAUCUUUUCAGAUGCCUGGAAGGAGUUUUCUUCAGUGUCACUGCCCUCUUUCCUUUCAUUUUCCAGGUUAGCUUUGUUUUCUUACACUCCAGAAGUCCUGAUAGGUCACAAGAACUUGUUUUGGGCAAGCCAUCCUGACCUAUUUUUAUAAAAGAUUCAUCACAUUCAUGCUCUCUCUUUUUUUUCUUCAGCAUUUCUGCUCCCUUUUUUUGCAGAUACCAGUACAUGUUCCUACAAGAAUUUCUCUUCUGAGCUUGUCUUUCUCUUUGAAGUCAUACCUUAGUAGGUUUAUGAUCAUGUGUGAAGUCUAGUUUGUGCAGAAGCUUAAGGUUUUUCAAGUAUAGCCUCUGAGGUUUGUGAUCUAUUCAAGUAUACUGCAGAGUAUGUGCUGACAACCAGUGACAGCAGCAAAUUCUUCUCUAUUUGAGUAUAAUUUUCUUGUGGUUGUUCUACAUUCUCAUUCAUUAUGUCCUGAAGUGUCUCCCACAAAAAUACUGAAUCAUCCUCUAUUCAUGACAUAUCCACCUUUCCAGUGUCAAAACCUGAAUUUCUAGGAAUUUACCCCAGAGUACAUCCAGUGAAUUUGCUGCUGCCAUUUAUUGUUGCCACUGAUUGCUGUCUAAAAAUGAUACAGCCCCUGUGUUCUCAAAGCUAUCACUGAAUUUUCCCAUUAACAUGCUUUUUGCUUUUUACCUUGGAUUUCAUAACAGAGAUCUGUAUUAAUCUAUGCUAUGUAAACCAACACAGUUAGGGAUUCUGAUUUUUCCAACAAGAUCCCGAUGGUU
rnacentral:lncRNA from 7 species